rnacentral:rRNA from 1 species
UACAGAGGGGGCUAGCGUUGUUCGGAAUUACUGGGCGUAAAGCGUGCGCAGGCGGCUUUGCAAGACAGAUGUGAAAUCCCCGGGCUCAACCUGGGAACUGCAUUUGUGACUGCAAGGCUAGAGUACGGUAGAGGGGAUGGAAUUCCGCGUGUAGCAGUGAAAUGCGUAGAUAUGCGGAGGAACACCGAUGGCGAAGGCAAUCCCCUGGACCUGUACUGACGCUCAUGCACGAAAGCGUGGGGAGCAAACAGG